AGCUGUACUCGCCCCACCAGCCGCCCAUCAAACACUACACACAUACGAACCCGGAAGGUGAAUUCGGCCAGCACAACAGAACAGCAGCGUUUUCAGAAAAGGAAGGAGGUUCGUCCUAUGGUUCCUUUCUCUUCGCGAGCUUGGGAGAGGGAUCAGUUCGGUGAGUUCGUAACCUCUCUGUUUGCUGGGCAAGGUCGAACUGGAGCCGUACCCUGCCGUACGUCUAAAAGUGCACUACGCUAGUGAAAGGAAGUUAUCCCGUAGUGCUCUAGUGAGGAUUUUAAUUUUAUACUCCGGAGUUCAUCGCCCCGCUGUCCUUACGGGGAACGGGUCACUUUGGUGCAGUGUAAUCCUUACGAGGACGGAACCUUUUGUCUGUCUGUACAAUUAAAAUUUAACUGCACGAUCAAUAAACGAAGGGCAUUGGCACGAGCAAAGGUGCUUCAAGCAAA